rnacentral:rRNA from 1 species
AUUGAACGCUGGCGGCAUGCCUUACACAUGCAAGUCGAACAGCAGCACGGGUGCUUGCACCUGGUGGCGAGUGGCGAACGGGUGAGUAAUACAUCGGAACAUGUCCUGUAGUGGGGGAUAGCCCGGCGAAAGCCGGAUUAAUACCGCAUACGAUCUACGGAUGAAAGCGGGGGACCUUCUGGCCUCGCGCUAUAGGGUUGGCCGAUGGCUGAUUAGCUAGUUGGUGGGGUAAAGGCCUACCAAGGCGACGAUCAGUAGCUGGUCUGAGAGGACGACCAGCCACACUGGGACUGAGACACGGCCCAGACUCCUACGGGAGGCAGCAGUGGGGAAUUUUGGACAAUGGGCGAAAGCCUGAUCCAGCAAUGCCGCGUGUGUGAAGAAGGCCUUCGGGUUGUAAAGCACUUUUGUCAGGAAAGAAAUCCUUGGCCCUAAUACGGUCGGGGGAUGACGGUACCGGAAGAAUAAGCACCGGCUAACUACGUG